rnacentral:rRNA from 1 species
GAUGAACGCUGGCGGCGUGCCUAAUACAUGCAAGUCGAGCGAACAGACGAGGAGCUUGCUCCUCUGACGUUAGCGGCGGACGGGUGAGUAACACGUGGAUAACCUACCUAUAAGACUGGGAUAACUUCGGGAAACCGGAGCUAAUACCGGAUAAUAUAUUGAACCGCAUGGUUCAAUAGUGAAAGACGGUUUUGCUGUCACUUAUAGAUGGAUCCGCGCCGCAUUAGCUAGUUGGUAAGGUAACGGCUUACCAAGGCAACGAUGCGUAGCCGACCUGAGAGGGUGAACGGCCACACUGGAACUGAGACACGGUCCAGACUCCUACGGGAGGCAGCAGUAGGGAAUCUUCCGCAAAGGGCGAAAGCCUGACGGAGCAAAGCCGCGUGAGUGAUGAAGGUCUUCGGAUCGUAAAACUCUGUUAUUAGGGAAGAACAAAUGUGUAAGUAACUAUGCACGUCUUGAAGGUAACUAAUCAGAAAGCCACGGCUAACUACGUG